rnacentral:rRNA from 1 species
UACAGAGGGUGCAAGCGUUGUUCGGAAUUACUGGGCGUAAAGCGCGUGUAGGUGGCGAUGUAAGUCGGGUGUGAAAUCCCUUGGCUCAACCAAGGAAGUGCAUUCGAUACUGUGUCGCUUGAGUACUGGAGGGGAUGGCGGAAUUCCCGGUGUAGAGGUGAAAUUCGUAGAUAUCGGGAGGAACACCUGUGGCGAAGGCGGCCAUCUGGACAGUCACUGACACUGAGACGCGAAAGCGUGGGGAGCGAACAGG